rnacentral:rRNA from 1 species
AACGGCUCAUUACAAUGGCCAUGAUUUACUUGAUCUUGAUUAAUCCUAAAUGGAUAACUGUGGAAAAUCUAGAGCUAAUACAUGCACUAAAGCUUUGACCUUACGGAAAAGCGCAUUUAUUAGAACAAAACCACGCGGCUUCGGCUGCUUUUUGUUGACUCAGAAUAACUAAGCUGACCGCAUGGCCUCGUGCCGGCGGCGUGUCUUUCAAGCGUCCACUUUAUCAACUUGACGGGAGCAUAAUCGACUCCCGUGGUUGUGACGGAUAACGGAGGAUAAGGGUUCGACUCCGGAGAAGGGGCCUGAGAAAUGGCCACUACGUCUAAGGAUGGCAGCAGGCGCGCAAAUUACCCACUCUCGGCUCGAGGAGGUAGUGACGAGAAAUAACGAGACCGUUCUCAUUGAGGCCGGUCAUCGGAAUGGGUACAAUUUAAACCCUUUAACGAGUAUCAAGGAGAGGGCAAGUCUGGUGCCAGCAGCCGCGGUAAUUCCAGCUUUCCUAAUGCAUAGAAUUAUUGCUGCGGUUAAAAAGCUCGUAGUUGGAUUCGUAUCGAUACUCUGGAACCCUUCGGGUGUUUCUGGAUGUUAUCGUUUUAUCGUAAUGUUCGGUUUUGAGUCCUUAACAGGAUUCUUAACAGGCAUUGCAAGUUUACUUUGAACAAAUCAGAGUGCUUCAAACAGGCGUUUCGCUUGAAUGAUCGUGCAUGGAAUAAUAGAAAACGAUUUCGGUUCAGUUUUAUUGGUUUUACGGACUGAGAUAAUGGUUAACAGAGACAAACGGGGGCAUUUGUAUGGCCACGUGAGAGGUGAAAUUCUUGGACCGUGGCCAGACAAACUACAGCGAAAGCAUUUGCCAAGAAUGUCUUCAUUAAUCAAGAACGAAAGUCAGAGGUUCGAAGGCGAUCAGAUACCGCCCUAGUUCUGACCGUAAACGAUGCCAACUAGCGAUCCGCCGAUGGAGAUUAUAAUUGCCUUGGUGGGGAGCUUCCCGGAAACGAAAGUCUUCCGGUUCCGGGGGAAGUAUGGUUGCAAAGCUGAAACUUAAAGGAAUUGACGGAAGGGCACCACCAGGAGUGGAGCCUGCGGCUUAAUUUGACUCAACACGGGAAAACUCACCCGGCCCGGACACUGUGAGGAUUGACAGAUUGAUAGCUUUUUCAUGAUUCAGUGGAUGGUGGUGCAUGGCCGUUCUUAGUUCGUGGAGUGAUUUGUCUGGUUUAUUCCGAUAACGAGCGAGACUCUAACCUACUAAAUAGUUGAUAUUUAUUUAUAAGAAUACAACUUCUUAGAGGGAUUUGCGGUGUUUAGCCGAAAGAAAUUGAGCAAUAACAGGUCUGUGAUGCCCUUAGAUGUCCGGGGCUGCACGCGCGCUACACUGGCAAAAUCAACGUGCUUGUCCUUCCCCGAAAGGGGCGGGUAAACCAUUGAAAAUUUGCCGUGAUUGGGAUCGGAAAUUGCAAUUAUUUUCCGUGAACGAGGAAUUCCAAGUAAGUGCGAGUCAUCAGCUCGCGUUGAUUACGUCCCUGCCCUUUGUACACACCGCCCGUCGCUGCCCGGGACUGAGCCAUUUCGAGAAAUU